GGAGCGGUUCCACUGGUGUCUUCGACCUCCCGUCUUUAACCACACUUGGAGGUCAGCGUCAGAGAAACUGAGCGGCACCUAGAUAAAGGGCUGGGGGCGGAAGGAACGAUCUGUCUCAUGGAGCCAGAGUGAAGAAGGGUUGUCAGGUGGGGAUAAGCAGGCACCUCCCACCUAAAGCCUGCACACCUGCUCCAAUUCCUGGGAGAAGGAGAGACACAUGCUUGUUUCUUAAGUGGCUUCCAUUCUGAGGGGCCUGGCUCCCAAGCCCCCCGGAUUAACAACCACUGCAUGACACUCCAGGACUCCGCCAGCCACGCAGUAGGAAACCAUGCACUUGGAGCUGCGCCGAACCCUCAGAAGGUACAGGGGCUGGGGUCAGGAAGGAUAGAUCCCAGUGUCUUCCCACUCUGCCACUGGAAAGAAAGAGCCCUCUCCCCCAUCAUCCAAAAUGUUGCAGAUCUGGGGUGUCAGAAACUACGACCCAUGGGCUAAUUGGACCUCCCCCACCCCCGUAUUCUUGCAAUCAAGUGUGUCUGGAACACUAGUUAUGGAUGGUCUGUGGCUGCUUUCAAGCCCCAAUGCAAGAGUGGAGUCAUCACAUGGACGGCAACACCUAACUGAAAAUUUUUACAGAAGACAUUACAGAAAAGUCUGUGCCGAUCCCUGGUCUCAAAGAUCCUAGGAUCAUGUCCCUUCUUUGAGGAGAACAUAGCACCUUCUGGGUCAAAUCUAAUUUCUUCACCCCCAGAGGCAAGGGAUGCCAUCCUUUUAGCCACAACACCAUCUCCAUCCUCCUCUACUGACACCUUGAACAGCAUGUCUACAGGUCUGCCGCCCUAUGGGAAUUCACUGUCAUUUCCAUGGUAGUGAUGCUCAGAAACGGAGGUGUAACUGUGAACUUGUGAGGGUGAGCGUGUGUUUCCUCUUUUGUAGCCACAGUGUGCAAGGAGAAUACAAUAUAGCAGCAUGCAUUCUGCUCCACAGGAAUGCCACACAAUGUGGUUGAAUAAUGAUCUCAGAAGGAAGCCACCUUCAUAGAACAAGCUUCAUCUGGGAGGACUCCCAAGUCCCUUGUCCUUGACACUAGGUUCCACCAAGGCUGAGGGCACACAGAGGGACAGAGACUCCCCCUGCCCAUUGGGCUUUUGAAGGACGCCUGCUAUUCCAGGACAAAAAGAUCCCAAAGCCAUUCAUCCACCUGCCAUCCAGCCAGGUAUCUGUGAGAUCUACUUCAAGGAAAAAAGACAGCCUGAGAGACAACAAAUGACAGCCAUGUGUGACAGGAGUCAUGACAUGGGACACUCAGGAGGACUUGGGGUGUGCAGGGUUGGACAGACCCAGGGGUAGGGGGACAGGGAAUGCUCCAGGAGGGUGAUCACAGCUGUGUCACUAUUUGGGAUGCUCGGGAGGACUGGGAGUAUGCAGGGUUGGCAAGACCUGGGGGAAGGGAGACCAGGGGUGCUCCAGGAGGAUGUCACAGCUGUGCCCUUGGGUGGCUGCACAGGUCAGUGUGACUGGGCAUUGGCCAGACUGGAAAUGACAGCGUGGGUGAGGGGCAGUGUCCCUAAACUGUCUUCUGCAAGUCAACAGUUCGGUAACAAGAUUUCUUUCAAUGCGAUUUCAUGUUACAUGUGUCCGUGAGUCCUUAAAGCUGAUUGUGUAGAACAUGAAGUAUGUAGUUGGCCAUUGCUUUCAAACCUGAGGUGCCGGGCGUGGAGCACACUUGAUCUUUCUUUUGCCGGCUUUCAGAGUAGGAUGACUUUUCCCACCUUCCUCUCUGACCCCAGGACAAGGAACAAAGGCAACACAGAUCAACACUUUGCAAGAUCAACAGAAAUCUGCAAACCCAAGAUCUCACAGGAGCUAAGGGUUCAGGACCAGGGUGGCAGAAAGGGGAGGCUGAUAAAAAGGAACGAAGGCAAUGUGUCAUAUGCCUGUGAGCUGGCCCACUUCUCUACCGAUCGGAAGCAAGCCAUGCCUAGUAGGAGGGAGUCCCACCUGCACCUGGCCUGUCUGUUUAUUGCCCUUGAGCAGAGUGGAGGAUGGGCUGAGUGGGGUGUGGCUGUCGGGGGUAGAUGGCCAGCUGGCCACAGAAGCUACCUGCCAAGUCCCUAGAGGACCAGCUGCUGGUCCUCAGCUAAGAUGAAACAAUCAUUAUAUGUAGUGACCUAUUUCUAGGGACAGGUCAUGUGCUCAGUACCUUGGUGACUGUAUCUUCUCCCACUGUAUUUUUUAAAACCCCUUAGGCAGGUAAGAUUGCCCUACAAAAAGGUUCCAUAGUUAAUGAAUGUAGCUUGACCUUGACCCUAACCCUAAUAUCUAGUGAAGAUGUACUCGAUUUAGAACAUUGCUUGUAAAUUAAAGGAUGGUUUUUAGGAGCUAAGGACUCCAGGGCCCAACCUUCUUCUGUCUUAUUCUCCCUUGAAUCCCGUAAAUGGGAACCCAUUUGGCCACGUGCUAUCAGGAGAGUGGCCACACGGGAGCAGCAGUGAGGAAACAGCGCCCCAAACACCAAGGGGAAGCCCAUUCUUCCUUCAUCCUGUCAAGCCUUGUUCCUUCAAUGUUUACAGGUCAUUGUAUAGAUGACAAAAAGUGGGACUUUGUUGAAUUUCUUAAAGAGCAAACUAAUUCGUUCAACCUGUUAAGAAGAGAAGAUGCUUUCUAAAAUCUUGAGCUUGGGGGCACCUGGGUG